UGGGGAAUAUUGGACAAUGGGGGCAACCCUGAUCCAGCCAUGCCGCGUGCGUGAAGAAGGCCUUAGGGUUGUAAAGCGCUUUCACUGGUGAAGAUGAUGACGGUAGCCAGAGAAGAAGCCCCGGCUAACUCCGUGCCAGCAGCCGCGGUAAUACGGAGGGGGCAAGCGUUGUUCGGAAUUACUGGGCGUAAAGCGCACGCAGGUGGUAACGCAAGUGGGGUGUGAAAGCCGCCAGCUCAACUGGCGGAGGCCAUCCCAAACUGCGUCACUUGAGGCCUGUAGAGGUAUGUGGGAUUGCCGGUGUAGUGGUGAAAUGCGUAGAGAUCGGCAGGAACGCCCAGGGGGAAGCCAGCAUACUGGACAGGUCCUGACACUCAGGUGCGACAGCGUGGGGAGCGAACCGGAUUAGAUACCCCCGUAGUCC
rnacentral:rRNA from 1 species